rnacentral:pre_miRNA from 1 species
AAUAAGAGCAUGACAAAUUAGAUUUUUCCUCUUGCUUUUCAGAUUUUUCCUCUUGAAAAAAAAUUUAAAUCCAACUAAAAAUGCUAAAAAUCAGGAGAAAAAAAUAUUAUUUGUCAUACUCCUAUU